rnacentral:rRNA from 1 species
AGUGAACGCUGGCGGUAGGCCUAACACAUGCAAGUCGAACGGUAGCACAGUAAGAGCUUGCUCUUACGGGUGGCGAGUGGCGGACGGGUGAGGAAUACAUCGGAAUCUACUUUUUCGUGGGGGAUAACGUAGGGAAACUUACGCUAAUACCGCAUACGGCCUACGGGUGAAAGCAGGGGAUCUUCGGACCUUGCGCGAUUGAAUGAGCCGAUGUCGGAUUAGCUAGUUGGCGGGGUAAAGGCCCACCAAGGCGACGACCCGUAGCUGGUCUGAGAGGAUGAUCAGCCACACUGGAACUGAGACACGGUCCAGACUCCUACGGGAGGCAGCAGUGGGGAAUAUUGGACAAUAGGCGCAAGCCUGAUCCAGCCAUACCGCGUAGGUGAAGAAGGCCUUCGGGUUGUAAAGCCCUUUUGUUGGGAAAGAAAAGCAGCAGGUUAAUACCCCGCUGUUCUGACGGUACCCAAAGAAUAAGCACCGGCUAACUUCGUG